rnacentral:rRNA from 1 species
UGGGGAAUAUUGCACAAUGGGCGCAAGCCUGAUGCAGCCAUGCCGCGUGUGUGAAGAAGGCCUUCGGGUUGUAAAGCACUUUCAGCGAGGAGGAAGGGUUCAGUGUUAAUAGCACUGUUCAUUGACGUUACUCGCAGAAGAAGCACCGGCUAACUCCGUGCCAGCAGCCGCGGUAAUACGGAGGGUGCAAGCGUUAAUCGGAAUUACUGGGCGUAAAGCGCACGCAGGCGGUUUGUUAAGUCAGAUGUGAAAUCCCCGCGCUUAACGUGGGAACUGCAUUUG